UACAGAGGUGCCGAGCGUUAGGCGGAAUCACUGGGCUUAAAGCGUGUGUAGGCGGAUUUCUAAGUGUCUUGUGAAAUCCCAUGGCUCAACCAUGGAACUGCUGGAUAUACUGGGAAUCUUGAGCUACCUAGGGGCGACCGGAACAAAUGGUGGAGCGGUGAAAUGCGUAGAUAUCAUUUGGAACGCCAAUGGUGAAAACAGGUCGCUGGGGGUAUGCUGACGCUGAGACACGAAAGCUAGGGGAGCAAACGGG
rnacentral:rRNA from 1 species